rnacentral:sRNA from 1 species
ACCCCGUUAGGGGGAGAGGACUUCUUAGCCCUCUAAUUAUCCUCACCACUCUAUUGAGUAGUGAAUCUUAAGCUUAAACCAAAGAAUCUUGAUUUCGACUUCUAGUUCUUUGCGUUUAGGCUUUUUGUUUAGCCUAGA